CACAGCUUUUGCCGCUCAGUGUCUGAGCAACUUCAGUGACACCACGAGGAAAGGUCUGUCCUGGCCCAAAUGGCACACAUCCCACGUGUGGCAUCUUUCUUUCUUUUUCUGACUAAGCUCAGCCUUGGCCAGAGAGAGGUAACCAUCCAGAGAGGACCGCUGUACCGGGCUGAGGGCUACCCCAUCAGCAUUGGCUGCAACGUAACUGGCUACCAGGGCCCUUCGGAGCAGCAUUUCCAGUGGUCUGUUUACCUGCCCAAAGCCCCGACCCAAGAAGUCCAGAUCGUGAGCACCGUGGAUGCCACCUUCUCUUAUGCAGUGUAUGCGCAGCGGGUGAGAAGCAAGGGGAUCUAUGUGGAGAGGGUCCGGGGCAACUCGGUCUUCUUGCACAUCGCAAAGCUCCAGUUGAAGGACUCUGGCGAGUAUGAGUGUCACACGCCAAACACAGAUGAAAGAUACUACGGCAAUUACAGCGCCAAGACAAGGCUAAUUGUUAUUCCAGAUACCCUCUCUGCCACCAUGAGUUCCCAGACUUUUAAUAAGGAGGAGGGUGAAUCAUUGGAACUUACCUGUGAAGCAUCCAAAGCCACAGCUCAGCACACUCACCUCUCUGUCACCUGGUACCUGAUGCAGGAUGGAGAAAGAAGCCAAACUACCAAGAUUAUUUCCCUCUCCAAAGAUUUCACGUUGAUCCCUGGGCCCUCAUAUACAGAGAGGUUUGCGGCUGGUGAUGUACUGCUCAACAAGCUUGGAGUCGCUACCUUCAGGCUCUCCAUAGGGAGGCUCCAGCCCUCAGAUCAAGGUCAGCUGUUCUGUGAGGCAACUGAGUGGAUUCAGGAUCCAGAUGAAACCUGGACUUUAAUCACGAGAAAGCAGACAGCUCAAACAGCUCUGAGAAUCCAACCCACAGUGAGAGAUUUUCAAGUCAACAUUUCCGCUGAGAGCACGUUUACUGCAGGGAAAUCCUUAGAACUGGUCUGCCUGGUAGUAGGUGGUGGCUGGGACCCACAGCUUCAGGGCGUUUGGUUCUUCAAUGGUAAAGAGGUGGCCCGCAUGGAUGCUGGGGGUGUUCUGGACCUGAAGAGAGACUACAAAGAGAGAGCAAUUCAAGGACAGCUCCAGGUUUCAAAGUUAAGCCCCAAGGCUUUCUCUCUCAAGAUCUUCUCUGUGGGCCCAGAGGAUGAAGGCGCCUACAGAUGUGCUGUGGCAGAGAUGGCAAGAGCUCAGAUGGGUUCCUGGCAGGUGCUUCAGAGCAAGCAGUCACCAGAUACCCGUGUGCAUCUGAGGAAGCCAGCAGCAAGGAAUGUAGUCUUAUUUACCAAGAGCAAGCUGCAAGCAGUGUGGGAAGGAGAGGCAUUAACCCUUCUCUGCAAGGCAGAUGGAGCUGAGAGUCUCUUGUCCGUGGAAUGGUGGCACUUCCCACAAGGCCGGACGCAGCAGGAGUUUGUGGCUGGCAUGCGACAGGAUGGCACCGUGCAGCUGGGUGCCUCUUCCAAGGGCCACGCAAGGCUGGAGAAAAUAGACUGGGCCACAUUCCAGCUAGAGAUCAGCUCCACCACCAUCACAGACAGUGGUGUGUAUGAGUGCAGGGUGUCUGAGGGCACCCAGAACCCGGCCAGAGAUUGGAGCUGGACUCAGAAAUUGGCAGUCACUGUCAAAUCUCUGGAGUCGAGUUUACGGGUUAAGUUGAUGAGCCGUCAACCCCAAGUGGAAUUAGCCCACACCUUUGGCCUGUCCUGCAUAGUGGAGGCUGACUACCCCAACCUCGGGAUGCUCCUCACUGUGACGUGGCAGUUCCAGCCUGCGACAUCUCAAGUCUUUCAUCCACUAGUUCGAAUCACCCAUAAUGGCACUAUUGAGUGGGAGGAUUUCCUAUCUCAGUUCCAAAAGAAGACAAAGGUUCUGCAGUCAUCAUUUCAUUCCCAACUCCUAGUCCAUGAUGCCACCGAGGAGGAAGCAGGAGUUUAUCAGUGUCAAGUAGAAGUCUACGUCAGAAAUUCCCUCUGCACAGGCAGCCCCGCAAGGGCUUCUGCUAUCUCUCACUCACUGAUGAUAGCCGUCAGUUUACCAGAGAGCAAGCUACAAGUGAACUCAAGUAGUCAAGUCCAAGAGAUCUCCAUUACCUCCAACACUGUCAUAGAAUGUGGCAUCUUGUCCCGGUCUGCUGGAGACCUUCAGUUAGCCAUCGUUUGGUACUUCUCUCCCAGUUCCGCUAACACAACCUGGCUGAGGAUCCUGCAGAUGGACCAGACCAGUGUUGUAAAAUAUGGGGAUGAAUUUCACACCCCAAGGAGAAAACAAAAAUUCUACCCUGAGAAAGUUUCCCAAGACUUGUUUCAGCUACACAUUUUGAACAUGGAAGACAGUGAUCAAGGCAAAUACCUCUGUGCUGUGGAGGAGUGGCUCUUGUCUACAAAUGGAACUUGGCACAAGCUUGGAGAAAAGAAGUCUGGUCUGACAGAACUGAAACUCAGGCCCACAGGAAGUAAGAUCCGUGUCUCCAAAGUGUACUGGCCGGGAAAUGCUACUGAGCACAGAGAGGUGGCCAUCCACUGCAGCAUGGAGAGUUUUGGCAGUUUAGCUUCCCUGUUCUCUGUCACGUGGUACCGGAACAGAGAAAAUUCUGGAAGGAAGAUGCUGGUGCAUCUGCAGCAUGAUGGCUUGCUGGAGUAUGGUGAAGAGGGACUCAGGCAGCAUCUAUACUGUUACCGUUCAUCCCCUACAGACUUUGUCCUGAAGCUUCAUCGGGUAGAGAUGGAGGAUGCUGGACUAUACUGGUGCAGGGUGACAGAAUGGCAGCUACAUGGCAACCCAAGCAAGUGGGUCAACCAAGCAUCAGAGGAGUCGCAGCACGUGGUACUCACGGUACUGCCUUCAGAGCCCACAUUUCCUUCCAGGGUCUGCUCCUCAACAUCUUUACUCUAUUUCCUCUGCGUCUGCCCCUGCGUUCUGUUCAUUCUUCUGCUCAUUUCCCUCCUCUGCGUGCACCAAAAGGCCCGGAAGUUGUCAGCGCUGAGCCUAAAAGCGCAGCAAGAGAAGUCUCUCUGGGUGAGCCUGAAAGGGCCUGGAGACUGGACAACCAACCGGAGGGAAGAGGAAGACAAUUGAAUCCGGAGAGCUGCCUGCAGCCCUGGGGAAGGUGCGGGCUUUGGAAUUGGACUGAGCGGUGGCAGAGGUUCCGGCUCCCUGUCUGUAGGGGAACAACCUCCCUCCCACAGCCUCUUGGGGUGAGGGUGCUCUCUCCUCUCUCCUCUCUUCUGUCACUGAUUCCUGGGAAAGCUCUCCGAGUGGUCCAGUCACACUGGCUCUAGGUCAUCUUUUGCCCCCCAAUAAGAGGCUCAGGAAGGGGCCUGAUGUCAGCGAGGCAAAAAGGAAUUGGAGAUAUGCCCUUCAUUCACAUCAGAUCUUUCUCCCAACGCGAGUGUGACUUCCUUCAAAGCAGAAAUCUUGCCUUUCCCUCCUCCCAUCUAUAAGUGCUUCUCAAGAAUAAGCUCUGCAGGGACGCCUGGGUGGCUCAGUGGUUGAGGGUCUGCCUUCGGCCCAGGGUGUGAUCCUGGAGUCCGAGGGUCGAGUCCUACAUUGGGCUCCCUGCAUGGAGCCUGCUUCUCCCUCUGCCUGUG